AAGUCGUAACAAGGUCUCCGUAGGUGAACCUGCGGAGGGAUCAUUAAAAGAGAAAACUGCCGACCGCCUAACCCGCGGACGGCAUCCUCUUCAACCCUUUGUGUUCUGACUAUGUUGCUUCGGGGGCGACCGCGCUCUCAUCGGCGCGGGCCCCGGUGGCUCAAUCGAAACUCGUUAUAACUGACGUCUGAGUAAAAACGUUAAUUUAAACAAAAU
rnacentral:misc_RNA from 1 species